CACUCCUGCGGGAGGCAGCAGUGAGGAAUAUUGGACCAUGGGUGGAAGCCUGAUCCAGCCAUCCCGCGUGCAGGAAGACGGCCCUAUGGGUUGUAAACUGCUUUUAUCUGGGGAUAAACCUACUUACGUGUAAGUAGCUGAAGGUACCAGAAGAAUAAGCACCGGCUAACUCCGUGCCAGCAGCCGCGGUAAUACGGAGGGUGCAAGCGUUAUCCGGAUUUAUUGGGUUUAAAGGGUCCGUAGGCGGACUGAUAAGUCAGUGGUGAAAUCCGACAGCUUAACUGUCGAACUGCCAUUGAUACUGUUAGUCUUGAGUAAGGUUGAAGUGGCUGGAAUAAGUAGUGUAGCGGUGAAAUGCAUAGAUAUUACUUAGAACACCAAUUGCGAAGGCAGGUCACUAAGUCUUAACUGACGCUGAUGGACGAAAGCGUGGGGAGCGAACAGGAUUAGAAACCCCUGUAGUCCCA
rnacentral:rRNA from 1 species